CCAGGGUGUAGAGGACACACCCAGGACAGGAUGCCAGUCCGUCACAAGGCACCCCAAGCGGGACUCGAACCCCAGACCCACUGGAGAGCAGGACCCGGUCUAACCCGCUGCGCCACCGCACCCACCCGGAGGGAAAUUACUUAAUGACUUAAAUAAACAUCAAACUUUACACCGGUCACAUUAUUAAGCAUUGAAAAUUAUGUUGCAGAUCUAAACCAUGAUGGUCUCACCAUGGUGGUAGCAUUUUUCACUGCUGUACAUAAGUGCAAACUAUAUAUAGGCUCAGAUAUAGCAUGCACCAACCAGCAUGCCUUUGAAAUGGCUCAGCAGCAUAGCACACAAGUAACAAAUCAACAACAACGAUGGGGGGGGGGACUGUGGGAGGUGAAACGAGCACGAUGAAGGCUUUAUGUAACUUCCCAAUUGUGCAGAAUGGUCCUUUUGACCGGCCUGGGUGGGGAAGGGAGUGCAGCAGCUGCGUGCCCGUGCCCUAGUUCCAUAAAUCAAGCAUCGGUCGCUGAGAGAGCUCAGCGAAGCUGGGACGGAUGCCCUCCCCCCGACACCCCGCCCCAGCCGAACACAGCUGUGAGCAUCAGCUGACCUCGCGGUUUGAAAUAGAAUAUGCCCUCCUGCAGCCAUGCUCAUCGGACUGACUUAAACUUUGACCUUUCUCUGACUGUACAUGUAUAUGUGUCCCCACCCUCUACCGCUCAUCCCCCAGCUGCUCUGCUGCAGAGCUUCAUUAGGGGGUUGGACCACAACCAUCUCCCCGCCUCAUGGACGUCAGCAUUUUUAGCUGUGGUCUGUCUUUGUUGCGGCUCAUUUUAUUUUUUCCCUCGUUUCUUAUGCCCCCAGGAGUAACCAGGCCCUACCAGGGGGAGAGAGGGCAACACGUCCAUUUAGCCUGGACCUCGCUUCACGGAUGGGCUCAUCUAAUGUACAAACUAGUGAAGCCAGAGUACUUAAAGCUACAGCUAAAUAAAAUUAUAUUGUCAUGUAUUCCACAACUAUUUUUAAGUGCCGUUGUUUCCAAUAAAGUAUAUUUUUACCCCUCUUUGGAAUCAAUGAGGGGGCUUCACAAUAUGAAAUGGCCGGGGCCUCAUCUGAGCUCUUGGAGGCCCUGCCGAUGGCACGUUGUGUAUCGCAGAAGGAGGAGAACGCAAAGAGGGCAUAACUUUACGAAACUGCUUCAAGGGUGCGGAACAGGUCUUGAACAGAUACAGUCAGGACAGCUUACUACGUAGGCUCUGCCGUUGCCCCUCCGUCUCCUGACUGCCAAAAAAAGUGAAGGCAAAUUGGUGCUUUAGAGGAUCUAAAAAAAGCCAGACAUGAUGAAAACACCGGAGUGUUGGCAUAUAUGUCCUGCCUUACCCGAUGAGUGCAUGUUGUGACCCCUCACCUUUAAAGUGCACGGUGAGCGGGAUCACUGGGGAAUUUCCGCAUGUAAUAACUCACCGCCUGCUUGCGACGCUAGUGCCGGGGAGCUCUGUGUGUGUGUGUUUAUACACUUGUGUGUGCGUGCGCGCAGCCUACGGCGUAAUCGGAUCUGGCUCCUCAGCAGACUGGAUGGCCGGGAGCCCAGGGGCCACCCGCUGUCGCGGGGACAGAUGGAAAGGACUGCGGGUCGUUGCCGGGCCCCAGCCCCUACCUCGCCCCCCCCGCACCCCCCCGAGGUCCGUGCUAGGUGACUGAUGGGAUGGCUCAGCCGCCCACCAUCAGUCGCACCCCCCCGACAACAAGCCUGCACCAUCUGACCCGCUGUAGCCGCGGGGCAAAUGCUGCUGAUGAGCUCUCCUACGCGGCUUACCUGGUCUGCUCUGAGGCCGCCUAAGGUGUCUUCCAUCAGCGCCAGGCCAACUGCUUCAUCACGUCAGUCAGCGAGCACCGCAGUGGUGCGCAGGACAGUUUCUCUUGCCGGGCACCCCGAAGAGCGGUAAGGCUACGUGGCACACCUCCCAGCAACAGCCAGCUAAUGGCUGUCAGUUCACCGCACGUCACGCAGCACUGAAGCGACACCGAGAAGAAUGACGCUAACGUGGAAAAACUUACAAAAUAAUGCAGUACACGAUGAAAUAUCACCCACCCUUCUUUAUCCCAUCAAAACAGGCUUUUAGAAACAAUGGAACUGUGUUUUUCAAUUGUUCAUUCUGAUGAGUGCAAAAAAAAGCCGGUUUAGUUUAAUUCCUACGAGUAAAUACUUCUAGUCUUGUCAGGUCUUGGACGUUUCUGCCGAAAGCAGACUUC
ensembl:lncRNA